UUGAUUGUUUAUGUCCAAGCCUGAAACUGGGAACGCGCGUUCCCGUCAGCUGACGCGCGCUUGACUGACACUCGCACAGACCGUUGUUUUCCUUCGAACCCUCCCCUCGCGCCGACCCGGAGCGCCUCCUCCGCGCUCGCAGGACGACCGACAUCCGAUCCCGUCCGAGAACGCCGGGGAUCAGCCAAAAUGAAGGUUGUGUUUAAUGAAUAAAUAACUGUUUCAGUCCGGGACGCCGGAGCGCAUGCGAGCAUGGUUUGAGUUAAUUCUCUGCAGGCGGAGGAGACGAGCGAAGGGAAUCUGAUGAGAGCAGGAGAGUCGGCGGAGCCCUAGUUUUCAUUAAGAUUAGAGACAGGGGCGUGUAUUUGAUCCGGAGUCAAACCGAGAGAACCAGGAUCACUUCAAAUGGAUCGCACUGAAACAGUGGAAGGACGUGGUCACAUUGCACAGUUUACUUGAUCCACAAAGAAACUGGGACAGAAAUAAUUUACCGAAUUCGUAUAUUAAGACUAUUUUGACUGUGGAAUUUCCUUUUUGACAUUUUUCAGUUUUUUACUGAUAAUUAAUUUCACUUGUUCACAUGAAAUAGCUCUCAUAUUUAUGGGUCCCUAUGCAGUUUUUUAAUGAAUUGAUUACAGAUGUGUGCCCUGAUAUGAUUCUGAUGUACAGUACAUCUCAGAUUAUUGCUCACAGAAGAAGUGUUGGUUUAGUUGUUGGUGCAUUGGCCUUGAAAGCACAAGGUCUCAGGUUCAAGCCAACCAUAGUGCCAACUUGUUUUUAUGUGGCAAGAAAUGUACUCACUCACUUUUUGUUAUUAUUUUCAAAUAUGUGUGUCCUAUGUUAUCAAUAAAUCUUAACUAGGAAAAAACCCAUGUGUGCUGAAACUGCUUCCCUCCAAAAUGGGGCACCAGGUCAUGUUCUCUUGGUUUUUUGGUUCAGCUCUGUUUUAGUUUCUUUGUGGUGUCUAGUUCCAUGAGUCAGGUUUAUAAACUAAAACCUUUGUAACCUUUUUCAGCUUCAUUCUAUCAGUUUUUGGCUGAGAGACCACCACAGAAACCCCCAGCAAUAGUCCUCUCCCAGCUGAUUCUCCAGCAGCAUGAACAACCCUGUCAAUUGCCCGAUUCAUGUAACAAAGGCAGCGGUUCACACAUGACUCAGGGUGUCAGCUACAGCGAGUCUGUCACUUGAACCACCGGCCGGAGAUCUACCUGAAUUCAUAAAUUGAUGGACAGCAUGUCAAGCUGCUAAUCCAGGCUUUGAAACAUUACUUCCUGAUCACUGUACACUAGAUGCUUUGAUAGUCAUGGCUAAGUAGACGAACCUCAGCCCUGCUCAGUGGGACAUGAAUCUCCUGUAAAUAUCCAGAAGCUAAUCAGGAUGAAGAUGAAAAUGCUGUUGAGUGAUUUCUCUUGUCUCUUGUCCCUGCGUCGGUUACAUGUACUGUAUGGGAUGUGAUGAGAGGCUUGAUGUGCUCAGAUGAAGCAUUUGACUUGGUUGAGGAGUUUCAUGCAUUAGCAGCAGCCCCCUCCUCACCUCAUGUCACGACCCCGCCGUGACCCCCAUCACUUCUCACUUCCCUCCCUGCAUUUUCCCACCGCCGUACGAACGCCCCCCGACGGCCUCGAGACCAUUCUGAUACGACCGCUGCCACCUUGUUCAGGCCGAACGUAACAGAAAGCCAAAGGUCAGAGUCUUCUCAAAUAUGUUUUUCUCUUUGCCCCUUUCAAAAUAAACUGCCUGCUGCUGUUUUAGUGAUGCCAGGAGGAGAAUGAAAAGCAAGGCUUGUUCCCAGAUACAAAUGAAGUGUUAAAGCUUAGACAUUGUUUAAAGUGCAGGUGAAGUGUGCUUACAGGUCGACCCAGAGGUUCCUUCACAACUGACAGCCUUGUCAAAUAAACAUCAUGCUAAGUGUUAGCGCUCGCUCCCUCAUUUCCCCACGAAAGUCAAACAUGUUACACUCAUAUUUUAAGCUACUAUCUCUGGAGAGUUUGUCACUAUAGGUUUAACUGAAUAUUAACGGCAUGAAAGAUGUUUCCUGGAAGAAAAGCUUGAAUGAGUCCCUUGUUUUAAAGACGUUUAACCAUAAAGAAGGACAAAAAAAGCCCAAGACCUGUACAUGUAUGCAAAGGUUCUUCAUUUAUUGCAUAGUUCAGAACAAUGUUGUCAGAGCAAAAUAAAUUAAUUAAAGAGUAGAAUUUGUUAUG